rnacentral:rRNA from 1 species
GAGGUAUCGACCCCUUCUGUGCCGGAGUUAAACAAUAAGCAUUCCGCCUGGGGAGUACGGCCGCAAGGUUGAAACUCAAAGGAAUUGACGGGGGCCCGCACAAGCAGCGGAGCAUGUUGUUUAAUUCGAAGCAACGCGAAGAACCUUACCAGGUCUUGACAUCCAUUAAAAACAUCAGAGAUGAUGCGUGAGCUUGCUCAUAAUGAGACAGGUGGUGCAUGGUUGUCGUCAGCUCGUGUCGUGAGAUGUUGGGUUAAGUCCCGCAACGAGCGCAACCCUUGUGAUUAGUUACUAACGCGUGAUGGCGAGGACUCUAAUAAGACUGCCGGGGACAACUCGGAGGAAGGUGGGGACGACGUCAAAUCAUCAUGCCCCUUACGACCUGGGCUACAAACGUGCUACAAUGGCCACUACAGAGAGCAGCGAAACCGCAAGGUCAAGCGAAUCUCAUAAAAGUGGUCCCAGUUCGGAUUGUGGGCUGCAACCCGCCCACAUGAAGCCGGAGUUGCUAGUAAUCGCGAAUCAGCAUGUCGCGGUGAAUACGUUCCCGGGCCUUGUACACACCGCCCGUCACACCAUGGGAGUUGAUAGCGCCCGAAGUCGGUGAGGCAACCAGCAAUGGGGCCAGCCGCCGAAGGUGAGAUCAAUGACUGGGGUGAAGUCGUAACAAGGUAGCCG